rnacentral:rRNA from 1 species
AUUGAACGCUGGCGGCAGGCCUAACACAUGCAAGUCGGACGGUAGCACAGAGGAGCUUGCUCCUCGGGUGACGAGUGGCGGACGGGUGAGUAACGUCUGGGAAACUGCCCGAUGGAGGGGGAUAACUACUGGAAACGGUAGCUAAUACCGCAUAACGUCGCAAGACCAAAGUGGGGGACCUUCGGGCCUCACACCAUCGGAUGUGCCCAGAUGGGAUUAGCUAGUAGGUGGGGUAAUGGCUCACCUAGGCGACGAUCCCUAGCUGGUCUGAGAGGAUGACCAGCCACACUGGAACUGAGACACGGUCCAGACUCCUACGGGAGGCAGCAGUGGGGAAUAUUGCACAAUGGGCGCAAGCCUGAUGCAGCCAUGCCGCGUGUAUGAAGAAGGCCUUCGGGUUGUAAAGUACUUUCAGCGGGGAGGAAGGCGGUGAAGUUAAUAACUUCACCGAUUGACGUUACCCGCAGAAGAAGCACCGGCUAACUCCGUGCCAGCCGCCGCAGUAA